CCGCCCCGCCCCGCCCCGCCCCGCCCCGCCCCGCCGCGGGACUGCGCCCCGGGGCCCCAGCGGCGCUGUGCGGGCGGCCGCAGCCUGUCCGUGACCCGAGACACGGAUCAGGCCGGCGGGAAAGGCCAGCCCUCCCGCUACCGCCGUUACGUGCUCCACCCCGCUGCGCACCCUGCUGUCCGGUUCGUCCAGAGGCAGUAGAGGGUGCUGUGAUUGCACAGACAGAAGUGAAACUGCCUAAAGAACAAGGAAACAAAUCCCCAAGAAGCAGGUCAUCACAACACGGCCAUGGUUUAUCAAAAUCUAUCGGUUUAUUAAAUUAAAUUCAUUAUGUUGGAGUCAAAGGAAGUGUAGAGAUCCAACACUGCCUUUCCCUCACUGUAUUGUCCUCCUGAUGUUUACUCUCUGCAGUUGAGGAGGAAAGACUUCACAAAAGUAAAUUUUGGUGUUUCUCAUAGCACUAAAAAUCAUGCAAAAACUGAAGUGAGGAAUAUAUGUUAUAUAAGUCUUCUGAAAACUGGCACUCUAAGGGGAUACCAUCAGUGCUGUGGUCGGAAGUACUGACAGGCCAAAGCCUUGUACAGUUGCAGAAAGGGAUGGUCCCUGCCCCUAAAGGCUUCCAGUCAGUGUGCACAACAAGUGAGGACAGGUGGAUGCAAGGAGCCUUUGCCUGGUUGCAGGAGCAGUCAGAACAAACUCCUAAUUACUAGAGGUUGUUUUGUCAGAAAUCUAGAGUAGGGUUGUAUUUUCAAAAGAGCUUUGCAUGAGGACAAUGCAAUAAUGUUGCAGAUUUUAUAGGCAACUAGUGAAAGAAGAGCAGAAAUGGAAAAACUAAAACAAUUGCAACAUACUCCCCCUUGAAACUACUGUGGUUACGGACACUGGAAGGCAGAAAAAAUGCAUUUCCACUCAUGCUUGCCAGAGAAGAUGGGUGGUCUUGUUGCCGAAACACGGGCACUGCAACUCUCACCUGAAUUCUGGCCCUUGAAUUCACCAGAAGAGUCUUGUGUUGCCUUGGACUGAUCUCUUCCUUGUGCUGCAGCUCUUCUUUCAUAAAGGGCCCUGAUUUAUGAGAACAUGAACUACAUGCUUGCAAGGCAGCCACAAGGUGCUGGGCGUGGAUGCCCCUCUCUUGCGUCUCCCCAGAGCACACCACCACCACCACCACCACCACCACCACCACCACAUGCUCGUCUCGCAGUGCAGGCUGGGACAGGAGGAGAGGAGGCCCAGUAAAGGCUGAGCUAGUCACGAACACACUGGAGUUUCCGUCAGUUUUAAGAUCCAAGACUGGCUUUUGCCAAGACAAGUGCUGGCACAUCUCACAGCAAAGCGAGGGGGAGCGCAAGGGAGGUGGGGGAGCAGGAUGGAGAGGGAGACCAAGAGACACAACUGAUUAUCUUUUUUUCUACUAUGCUGGUCCUGUGAGAUUGGGGGAAUUUAUAACGCACGUACAUACUCCAGGUUUUUCGAGGGCUGUCUUUAGCGGUAUAUCAUAUUUCCAGAGGUCAAAUGUUUAUGCAUUUUGUCUACAAGAGUAAAAAUGUGUAUUUUUAAUAGGGAGUGACUGAUCACAAGUGAGCCAGAGUGCAAUACAUUGAAACAAAGGCAAGACACUUCACUACUGCUGUGAAGUUAGCUAAAUGGAGUAGGCUUUGUGCUCCAUCCUGGCCAGAGCUGGUUUAUCAGUCAGACCACAACACCUUGACUGAAUUGUGUUCUUACUUCCGAACAAAACCAAACUGCCUUGAACAACACCUGAUGAGACUUGUUUAUUAGGUUUAUGCCGGUUUUGAGAAUUCUUACAUCCUUUGAUAUGUAAACACUUUCCCUGACUCAAUCCGCCCACAUCACUUGUUCAACCCACAAGACGCUGUAGCUGCAAGCAGCACACCACAUAUGAUGCUGUAGCCAUACUGGUGACCUCUGUCCGCAACAGCACCCUGCAGAGGUGGUCUUGAACACAACUGGGCUGACUGGCUAUCUAUAAAAAGCAAUGUAGCUUUUCUCAAUAAGUUUUGAAUGAGUAGUGUAGUCAGAUCUUUAGUGUUGAGAGGAAGAGGGGAAAUCAGAAGAUUACUGCAUAGACAGCUCUUUACUUACUUUUAGAAAAAGAGAAGUCCCAAGCACCAUUUGGAUGCACACCACUAUGAGACUAUCGCUACCAGCCACUGCACAGGGGGUGUUAUCCAGAAGGUUGUUAGCCAGUUCCUUUUCAGGAGUCAUCCUACCGUUUCUACACAGGGCAAAGGAAGGAUUGCUGCUUCAAAACACACACAUUGCUUAUGACUCAUCUUUAUUGAGCAAGUUUUAGGAAACAAGGUGAGAUUUCUUCUGCUAAAGCCAGAAGUCUGAUUAACAGCCUACAGGGAAAACAAACAAACAUUUAUCACAGACUAAACUAAAUGCUUCUUGCUGGUCCUGCUUUAGUCCCUGCCUCUGAGGUAUACAAUCUUGUUUUACUAACAGCCUGUCUCAGCUGAUGGGGAGGUGCUUCCCAUGGGACAGCAAGGCCUGCAGCCAUGGGCCAGGCCUGCAGCAGCCCCAGCCACCCGGUGGCAUUGCCCGUGCCGGCUCGGCUCCGUCGUCUCCCGACCCCAGAGCUGCCAAGUGCUGGGCGCUUGUUUUCCACACUCAGCCUGUUUAAGCUCUCUCCACUCGGAUCUGCAGUACAUGGGGACUUUUUGUAGCUGCCCUUAAAAUAGACUCACAUGGUCUGUCCCAGCUUGGCGUCAAGUAUCCUUCUGUGUAACCUACUGCACACUACACAAACACGGGAACUUGCCAAAUUACCAAUUCAGCAAAGAACAGGCUGAGGUGUGGGCAGUUAAAUAUGGAGAUUUGCAAGAGCCGACAACAUGCUUGGCAGAGCACAAGGCACCAAGGAAGACAAAGCCCAGCCUCUGUGUGAAACUGUACCCGACUCCCGUGUGUGUUUGCCUAAGGCAGGCAGCUCGAGGACAGUGUCACACUUUCAUGUGUGUUUAUACAGCGCCUAGCACAACAGAGUCCUAAUCCAAACCGGAGCUCCUAAGUAUCGCAGUAAUGCAAAUUAAGUAACACUAAUAGUACGCUUUCCCUCUGUGCUCACCAGGUCAGGCACGAGGAAAGGACCUUUGUUGUCCUGGUUGGGAAGGACCAGGACUUCACACCAAGCUGGGAGGCAGCUCCAGUCUCAGCUCAGCUUAGCAAGUUCCUGCACAUCAGCUGAGCUGCGCUGCCUGACCUGCAAUCCCAUCUGCUGCUGUGGGGUGAAACAUGUUAGUUUAUACCCGAGAGAAAAGUUAAUGUCAUUUAUCUUGUGUUUGCCCCAGCUAAAAGCACGUGUUUGUACAAUUACCAGGGUUCAGCCAAGACUGGUAUUUUAGUAAGCCACAGCAACUUGGCCGUGUCACAGUCUAUAGGGCCUUUUUUUAGAAAACAGAUAAAAUGGAGCUGGUAGAUAAAAGCUUCCUGCAGACAUUUGCUGAAAGGGUUUUCCCUUGUACUUUAUAAAAUAGUGUGAGCUGCUGUCACAAAAUUUAAUGAAAAUUUUAGAACUUCUAGCAAAAUAUUCCUGACUCCAAAAGAAAAUAUGUUUCAGUCAUUUCCAUCUAUUCUUUAAUCCAACGUUAUUAGUUGGCCCGUUUCCUACAAGCAGAGCGCUGUACAGCAGGUAAUCCUAUGGAUGUAAAGCUUGUCACAGUGUUCACCUCCUGCCAUGAAAAUCUCUUACAGUGAAUGAAAGCAAAGGAUCUGCACAGGGUGCUUUUCACUUCCCCUAGUUACAGAUGGCUGAGAAGAAUUAUUAAAAUAAUUAUACAUAUAUAUGUACUUAAUUAAUCAAUAGCAAAAUUUUGCUAGAAAUUUGACAAAAUAUUUGACUACUUACAGGACUCGGUUGACAGUGGAAAACCACCUUCAAAAAUAACAUCACUCUCAUAAAAACAUAAUUAGUUACAUUAUCCUCGAGUAAUACAGAAAAUAAUACUUAUAAAACAAAUGUGCAAUGUCCAGA